CCCGGAAAUAAGUCCUCGAAGUCAGUGAGCAGUGUCACGAUAUGUGGACGACACACCAAACUACAAUACAGUCACUGAAUUGAAGAAAAGAACCACAUUUACAGCCUUUUCCCACUAUGGUCCCAGCUCGUGUCGACUCGCCACGCCACGCCACGCCACGGAUUUCCCGGGUCAAGGUCAACAUCUGUCCCAUCCCAGGUGAUCUGUGAUGAAAGACGGCUGAAUAAGAGAGCAAGAGGAUAAAUAGAUCACAUUAUUGAUCAUGUAAUACACCUACUAAAAAAUCCAUUUCUAGGCUUGUAAAGUCCAGAUCCGCGUACUCUUCCAGGAUGGACAGCAGACUCCUUGAAACACAGCAAAAGCAACAGUGACAUUCAAGCGUUGUCAAGGUUACACAAUGUAGUACAGUAAAUCUUCAUGGGAUUCCACUCACUUUCCAACAAAGGGACAGAAUUCCAUCAUGUCCUCCAUUGAGGGCUUCACGCCGAGCAGCUUCUUGAACAAAGCCAUCGGGAAGGGCAAGUAAAUGAUGCACCGGUUGUACAAAGCCAAUCCACAAAGAACGCCAAACAGGAAGUACCUGUGAUGGUCUUGUGUUGGCUGGUGAGACAAUUAAAAUCAUAAUCCACUGUAUUAAUUCCUAAAUAUGUGACUGAAUACUGUAAAGCCUUGAAUUUACAAUGAAAAUGCAAGUGAACUGGAAAGGCGCCACAAAUUAAAGUGAAUAAAAAGUCUUACCCUGGAGGGGAACCAUGCCA